rnacentral:rRNA from 1 species
UACAGAGGUCUCGAGCGUUAGGCGGAAUCACUGGGCUUAAAGCGUCGUGUAGGCGGAUCGUUAAGUGCCUUGUGAAAUCCCACGGCUUAACCGUGGAACGGCUGGGCAUACUGGCGAUCUUGAGCCACCUAGGGGCCUGACGGAACAAGCGGUGGAGCGGUGAAAUGCGUAGAUAUCGCUUGGAACGCCAAUGGUGAAAACAGCAGGCUGGGGUGUGCUGACGCUGAGACGCGAAAGCCAGGGAGCAAACGGG